rnacentral:rRNA from 1 species
GACGAACGCUGGCGGCGUGCUUAACACAUGCAAGUCGAACGAAGUGGCGAACGGGUGAGUAACGCGUAAUCAACCUGCCCUUCAGAGGGGGAUAACAGUUGGAAACGACUGCUCAUACCGCAUACUGCGUGAGGGGAUUGCGUCUGAUUAGCUAGUUGGAGGGGUAACGGCCGACCAAGGAGAGGAUCAGUAGCCGGUCUGAGAGUAUUAACGCCCACAUUGGGACUGAGACACGGCCCCGACUCCUACGGGGGGCAACAGUGGGGACUCUUCCGCGAUGGACGAAAGUCUGACGGAGCAACGCCGCGUGAGUGAUGACGGCCUUCGGGUUGUAAAGCUCUGUUAAUCGGGACGCGGUACCGGAAUAGAAAGCCACGGCUAACUACGUGCCAGCAGCCGCGGUAAUAC